UUCUGAGUCAAGUUGGUCUUGACAGAAACCAAGCAGAAGCGAAGGGUUUCAAACAAUUCAAUUCCUGUUCUUGCGAGGUUAGAGACGUAUCAGUAUUCAGAAAGAGGCUGACCGGUUCCAAUCACGCAGAGAAGUUUCUCCAUCUUGUUAAGCUACCACUGGCGAGAUUUCUGGAAUUUGGUUGAGCCUAGACUGACACGUACCCGCCAACGCCCAACGCUAUUGGUAGGAAGGGAUUUUGACUUAGGAGCACCACUGGACUAAACAGUCGGCUUGGACGGCACGUGCAUUUUUUCCCCUGUUAGCUUGAGUAGGGUGUAGAACAUAGUAGAGAUGUCGUUCCGAAGCAAGAUGGGGCUCCGAUUCAAACGGGAGAAAAAGGGAUGAGAUUCUUUCUUGUAUGUGAAAAAUAUUACUCAUAUUUUUUUUUCUGAAA